CUGUCACAGAAUUAUUUGUAAAUGAAUAAGAUAAAAUAUUUAAAAAAAAAAAGAGGAAACAUUUCUUGGAUUUUAAUUUUUCUCAUAUAGUUAUUGUACUGCAAUCCCAAUCACAGGCAUUUAUCUCUGAAUUCUUUUUUUACCUUUAUACCUUAUUUACUUAGGGUAUAAAGGAAAACAAAUCAGGAUCACAAUAUAGAAAGUGCAACUGGAAUAACACAUUGCAAAUAUCACUGAUUUUUAUUUACAGGUGCAAUUGUUUUUCAAAAUCAUAAAG
rnacentral:lncRNA from 1 species